rnacentral:lncRNA from 1 species
GUUUUGCGGCAAUGGCAACAAGCUGUAAAUCGCAUUUCGCAGUCAGAUUUUGGCCAUUUCCGAGUUUAGGUGAAGACUGAAGAUUGUAAAUAUGUGUUUAAUUUGUUCAAAGCAGAGAAACUAUACUUCAAAUAGCGAUUUGUAGCCGGGUUUCUCUCAACUAGAAAGCGUUUCCAAAGAUGUCCCUUAUUCCUAAAUUUGUUGUUUGAAACAUUUUUACUUCCUAUAAGUAAGAAAAAUGGUUUCCUCAAUGCUUACACGCUUGCGGAAACUGGGAAACGUUUCAUGAACCAUCAAGAAUUACAAAUGCAUGUUUCAGCUACAAUUAUGUAUUCAAGUUGGGAAAUAUAAUGUUUUAAAAAGGUCUGCAAUCAUUCAAGUAUAUCAAAUACACGAACUGAUAACCUGCACGAAACCUGUUGUGUUUACAAAGGAAACUUGUCGUUUUUCCAACAUUUUCGUUCCGUGCAACUUGACCUUAACGCGUUGCAUGAUCACAUGUACUACUUUUUUGUUCUCCGGAAUUUCGUACGCGGCGUCAAAGCAGUGGAGAGUUUUCAAUUUCUAAUUGCCUGAAUACAUCCAUUUGGAAGCAUGAGAAAAAAUAAGUCAUAAAAUUAUUAAUAAACACUGUUUUUAAUUACUGCUAAAUCCCAUUGCUUUGUUAAAAAUUUUGACUCCAAGCAACGAUAUUUAAAUCACAAAGCAGAAUACAUAAAUUCAUAGCUAUGGUUUUCAGACUUUUCUUAAAUUGUUUUCAAAACGGUUUUCAUUUAAAUCUCCCAUUCAUGGCGCCUUUUGUCGCGUUGUUUACCUCGAUCCAACAAAACUACGCAAAUUUAAUCUAUUUUCUACAGCUGCUCAGCUAAAAUAAAAUUAAAUUGUCAAAGCAAAUUUCAUAAUAAGGCCGUGACACAAUCAAGGGAACUCGAAAGUGUAUAUUUUGUAUUAAGUUUAAUAGUUUAUUUUGGAGUUUUUUUUUCAACUCGACUGCAUCAAUUUUCGAAGACAAUAGAUAACAGUUUCCCGAUAAACUUGCUGCAAUUAUAUCUUCAAGGAAUUCUUGUGAAGCAUAGUCGUAAGUGCUCUAAGGCUGUUGAUAAUUUUUAUAUCUUUGAGACUGCUAUCGCCGUUACAAUCAUUUUCGCAGCUGAUUAAUUCUUAAACUGGUAAUCCGAUUUGUAUAACCGGCGACAUCUUCGUCAAACGAAGGAUUUUUGAAAAAAAACCGAUUCAAAUCCGGUGAGUUUAAUGUUUAUUAUGAAUUUUUUUCGUUUGUAAAAAAAUGGGUUUGUAACAGUGCACUAACAUUGAUGCACAGACAAUGCGUUCUGUGAAGAUUAAUUUGGAUAUGUGAAUAUGUUUAAUAUGCACUGUUUUAUACAUCCUCAUAUAUUGUAGAGCUGCAAUUUACUCCGGAGGCUGUCAAAGGAUUUAUCUAGCCGCUGUGUAGUGUGUAUAGAAUCUUGAGACAUGAUAAAAAUUCCGAACAUUACCGGAGGGUAUGUGUGUAUAACGUGGAUCAUAUUAGGACUUUUUGGUCAACUUGGGAACACCCUUUUCCGAGGAAAAUGUCAAAAUGACGGAUACUUCCAAUUCGUAAUGGACAAUUCCCGUCUCAAGCAUUACGUCAUUUCCACGCACGACGUCCUCUCGCUUCAAGACUGUGUCGCCGAAUGUCUCAGCGAGGCCCGCUGCAGUUCGUGUAACUUUCAAGUCAGCGGCAUUCCGCUUCACAAAUGUGAACUGAACACUAAGUCAAGAUCUUCCGCGCGACCUGGGAGCCUGAUACGAGAGAAUGGAUUCCAGUAUUACGAGAUCAAGGACUCU